GUCUACGGCCAUACUACCCUGAAAGCGCCGGAUCCCGUCUGAUCUCGGAAGCUAAGCAGGGUCAGGCCUGGUUAAGUACUUGGAUGGGAGACCGCCUGGGAAUACCGGGUGCUGUAGGCU